AAUCACCUCUUCUUCUCUGAUUUCCAUGCGCAAUUCAAUCAGUAGUAUUGAUUUCUCAAAUGUUCUUGCUUGUGUCACCAGCGUAUGCCUCAACCAUCUCUGAUUCUGAUGACGCCAUCUGCUCAGGAGCUCAACACUCCAGUCUCAGGAUCUAUAUUCCCUCUUUGCCGAGCUUUACCUUCGAUUCUUUUGUAAUUUUGUUUUAAUAUUUUCACUGAUGUCUGGUCUCUUCGGAUUGUCAAAGAUCUCAUUGAAUGGGACUUUCUCAGUUCUGCUCUGUUAUCCGAUCAGUGUGCUCUAAGUGCUCCACCCCGUUCGAUUCUCCUUCACUGGCUUCAAUCAUCGUUGCCAACGCAUCCAGGGCCUCCUUUGGCUAGUCGAACAACCGACCGUGACCGAUGAUCGCUCCUAGCUAAGGAAAACAUUACAUCGAUUUCAUGCUAGUUUGUUGUAAAAUGAUCGUGUCUUGGUCUUGAAUGCCUUGAUCGCUACUGGAUGGUUGCUGGACAUGACCAAACGUCAUUCACUGAACGUGAAUUUGGAUGGAAACUAACACUCAUCCUAAAAUUCGCAUCUUCCAUUGGAGAGCUUGCCAAAAUGCCCUACCCACUAGAGAAAACCCUAUAGGAAGAAGAUCUUACCAGACCCCUUAUGCCCUCUAUGCCACCAAGUGCUGGAGACAAUUGAGCACACGCUCUUGCUUUGCCCCUGGAUAGUUUCGAUAGGGGCUGACGAAAAAAUCAAGUUGCAAUCUUUAGACAUACCCAUCACUCGGCUGGACAAAUGGUUAUUGAAAUGCUUUGAAGCUAACACAUACCAGGUCUCGCACAAGGAAAUCACCAGCAUCCUGUGGUCAAUUUGGAGGGCACGAAAUGGGUUUGUUUUUAGCUCCAGUUGGCCGAACCCGAGCAAAAUGUUGGAACUUGCAAUUACAGAGCAAGCCAGUUUUUUGAGAUGGAAUCCAAGGCCGGAAAGUACAAUUAAGAAA